UACGAAGGGGGCUAGCGUUGUUCGGAAUUACUGGGCGUAAAGCGCACGCAGGCGGAUUGAUAAGUCAGGGGUGAAAUCCCGGGGCUCAACCUCGGAAUUGCCUUUGAUACUGUCUAUCUUCGAGUUCGGGAGAGGUUGGCGGAAUUCCUAGUGUAGAGGUGAAAUUCGUAGAUAUUAGGAAGAACACCAGUGGCGAAGGCGGCCAACUGGCCCGAUACUGACGCUCAUGUGCGAAAGCGUGGGGAGCAAACAGG
rnacentral:rRNA from 1 species